GAUGAACGCUGGCGGCGUGCCUAAUACAUGCAAGUCGAGCGAACAGACGAGGAGCUUGCUCCUCUGACGUUAGCGGCGGACGGGUGAGUAACACGUGGAUAACCUACCUAUAAGACUGGGAUAACUUCGGGAAACCGGAGCUAAUACCGGAUAAUAUAUUGAACCGCAUGGUUCAAUAGUGAAAGACGGUUUUGCUGUCACUUAUAGAUGGAUCCGCGCCGCAUUAGCUAGUUGGUAAGGUAACGGCUUACCAAGGCAACGAUGCGUAGCCGACCUGAGAGGGUGAUCGGCCACACUGGAACUGAGACACGGUCCAGACUCCUACGGGAGGCAGCAGUAGGGAAUCUUCCGCAAUGGGCGAAAGCCUGACGGAGCAACGCCGCGUGAGUGAUGAAGGUCUUCGGAUCGGAAAACUCUGUUAUUAGGGAAGAACAAAUGUGUAAGUAAAUAUGCACGUCUUGACGGUACCUAAUCAGAAAGCCACGGCUAACUACGUG
rnacentral:rRNA from 1 species